rnacentral:rRNA from 1 species
UACGUAGGUGGCAAGCGUUUUCCGGAUUUAUUGGGUUUAAAGGGUGCGUAGGCGGUUCAAUAAGUCAGUGGUGAAAUACGGCAGCUCAACUGUCGAGGUGCCAUUGAUACUGUUGAACUUGAGUACUGAUGAGGUAGGCGGAAUGGACGGUGUAGCGGUGAAAUGCUUAGAGAUCGUCCAGAACACCGAUAGCGAAGGCAGCUUACUAAGGAGUAACUGACGCUGAGGAACGAAAGUGUGGGGAUCAAACAGG